rnacentral:rRNA from 1 species
AUUGAACGCUGGCGGCAUGCCUUACUCAUGCAAGUCGAACGGCAGCACGGGAGCAAUCCUGGUGGCGAGUGGCGAACGGGUGAGUAAUGCAUCGGAACGUGCCCAGUCGUGGGGGAUAACGCAGCGAAAGCUGUGGUAAUACCGCAUACGAUCUAUGGACGAAAGCGGGGGAACGUAAGGCAUCGCGCGAUUGGAGCGGCCGAUGUCAGAUUAGCUAGUUGGUGGGGUAAAGGCCCACCAAGGCGACGAUCUGUAGCUGGUCUGAGAGGACGACCAGCCACACUGGGACUGAGACACGGCCCAGACUCCUACGGGAGGCAGCAGUGGGGAAUUUUGGACAAUGGGCGCAAGCCUGAUCCAGCAAUGCCGCGUGCAGGAAGAAGGCCUUCGGGUUGUAAACUGCUUUUGUACGGAACGAAACGGUCUGGGUUAAUACCCUGGGCUAAUGACGGUACCGUAAGAAUAAGCACCGGCUAACUACGUGCCAGCCGCCGCCGUAA